UCUUCUGCAGUUGUUUUGGCUACAUCUGUUUAUGUUUUCCAUUAUGAAUACUGUUUGUUGUUUGACUGCAUUGUUUACUACAUUUGCUUACUUUCUGUAUAAAAUGUUUAAUUUGCAUUUUCCUUUCAAUAAUUUUUUUUAUUUCUCUUUCAGUCUUGUUUUUCCAGCAAAAAAUGCGGGAAGUUGUAACAGAGCAAGACAUCACUAGCAAAUUGGAAAAGGCCUCAGGAAAAUUUCAACAGGAACUCACCCAUGUACUAUUCAGGACUAUUGAAUAAUUUUUUUCACGAGGCCCACUGGAGUCUUUUAUCUUGGUCUGCCGACUUCUAUUGAGUCUGCUCAGCAGGAAGCAAUCGUUGGGCUCCAGUGCUGUCAAGCCAGCUCUGUGCAGAAUGCUGCCUCCACAGCUGACAUCUGCUGUGUCACUCUGAAACUUCUCCUCGAGAAACUGGGCAAAUGAUACUUGAUAGGACGUGAAGAAAAAUACAAGCUAAAUAAAUAUUGUAGGAAGCCAGAAAUGCUAGCAACAAGACAGAUAAGUGUCUGUUUUGGGCCCAAAGUGGAAAACUCUGAGGAGGCACAAAGGACACUGGGUCGAAUAAACUCUGCAGUAUUUCACCACUCAUACUACACUUUCAUGACAUCUGCUGAAGUUUUGUAUCGCUUUAAAAUGAGGGCACCAAGUGAGGCUUCCUAA
rnacentral:lncRNA from 1 species